CUUGUGUCGUCCGCCUCACGAGGCUUGACCCCUCGUGAGGGUCUUGAGUUCUUGUUGGUGAAGAUGGGCCGCACGGGCCCGCUCGCAGAGCCAAGCCAUGGGCUGCAGGCAGGCAAGUCUGGGGAACCCCGUUCCCAGAACGCCGACAGUGCCAUCGCAUGGAUCGAUUAGUGCAGGCCAAGCCUCCGCGUUGUCAACGGGAUGGUGUCGUUUUAUUGAUUUAUUAGUACACCUACUCAUUAACAUCACAUCCGCUAUGUGACUAGUUGUGUCAAUGGAUUUGCACCUCGAUCCAGAUUGCUUUCAUGCAAAGCUUAUCAUGUUUACCUCUUGUGAAGGAAUAGGCAGGCACAUGAGAAGACCUGAUCAAAGAUGCUCAUAGUCCGAGUUAAAAACAAUCUCAAGUAAUCCUGCGACAUGUCUCUCUCUUCGGGCACCUACCACCCAAUGCAAGCUCACCCAUGUCUCCCAAAACCAAGUUAGGGCAUGGAUCCGCUGUGCUAAAGGAGCUUAUUGACUCAAAACCGUUUUCCUCAUCUGUAUUAGGUUCAUUUUCUCAGAAUAUUUGGUUCUAAUUUUUUCCUAGUGCGUUUAUACUUGAAUCCAUACUAAUUUUAGAUUUGGGUUCAAUUUGUUUUGUAUCAUGUGCUUGGAUAGUGUUCUGCUCUCCAAGGAUGCAGUCUUGGCUCUUCUCAUAUACAACCUAUGGAUACCUCUGGAGAUUGGUGGGAGCAUAAUAUUCUCACGUACAACCUAUGGAUACAUAAUUGACAUCGGUCGGAGCAUAACUAUGCUCACGAGGCGAGCCUAUAAAUUAAACCUGCUACCUUAACAAACGCCAACAACAAGAAUGAGCCUAAUGUCAGUUGUCAAUGUUGUCACUGGUUAAAUUACUAAUCAAUUUUUGUAUCCACAAAACAUGUCAAAGACCCUAUGUGGGAGAGUUAACAUCGUUAAUGGCCUACCCCAGUCUCCAUUUCUAGCUAAUGUUGUUGCUUGAAUUGCUGAUCCACCAGAGUCUCAUGUUCAGGGGAGUUUCUUGCCAAGCUGCCAUGUCCUAACAGUUGUAUGUUAGGUCAUGAAUUUUCUUCUAACUCCUUUUCAGCUAGCAGAUAGUGCAGAUAGUUGUAGUGUGAAACACUUGACAAUGUAGCUCUCUGUCGACUACUACAACAUUGAGGGUUUCUGUUAUAAAGCUGAAUAUCUAUUUUUUCUGGGCAAUUGGUAUGCAAAAGCAAAGGCACGUUAGAAAUACUAAUGCUUCGGUAUCUUUGUUGUUGCACUUCUGAUUUUCUGUCAAUUGUGUGUGACAAGUACCAAAUUGUAUGUUAAAUAGAUGAUUUGUGAAAUACUCGGUGCUAUCAACUAGGAGUCAUAGCACCGGUAGGGAAAGGGAAGUUAUACUUUGUUCAUUUUAUAUCUUCCAAACUGAAGACCACCUUUUAAUGAUGUUGUGUGUGGUGUCUUCAGGUGAUCAUUAAAUCACAAUGUACUUAACUUUGUUGCUUUGGCCCAGUUAAGAGGUCUCUAUAAUGAUGGUCUUCUCUCUUUUCGAGAAUGAUGUCUUUCCAUGUCAUGUGGUGGAGAGCUUUUCUAAUCUGAAAUUUCGUGGAAAUGCCAAGAUGUGUGGAGCGUUUACCGUCCUAUGGUGAUCUUAAGAGAAAUUUAGAUACUAGGAGAAAUUUUCCGUAAUAAUGUUUCUGAUCAAGAUGUGUCUGUUUAGGUAACUUGCAUUGCAUAAUGACUAUCCGAAUACAUUACCUUUAAGUUUGGUUUUAUAAUUUUUUUAUGUUUUAUUAAUGGAUGUUGGAUCAACUUCGCACAUGUACUAUAAUUUCAUUCUGAAGGAUAAUCUAGCAGAAAAGUAAAUGCAACAUGUCAUGUUGCUGCUCCAAAUCUGUGUUUA